AGAAAUCAAACAUAUCCUUGCUGAAUCAAGCACGAUAAUUUUAUCAAAUUAUUUUUGAUCAUAUUCAAUAAAUCAUAUCCAAACUGAUUAGAAAUGAAAGGUGAUAGGUGAUGGAUGGGGUAGCUGUAGAAUCUUUCGCUCUCUAAAAUGAAUCCUCGGUAAGUAGAGGCAUAAUAUAUAGAGAAAUUAUAUCAUCACUUUUUGAAGAAAAUAUAUGGUUAAUUACAUACAGGUUCCUACAAAUAUAGUGAAUUAUAAAUAUAUUCCUACAAAGUUCAAUUUUGAUAUAUUGUUUCUGUGAAAGUCCUGAUAUUUUCAAAUAUAUAUCUACCAUUAGAAUCUGUUAGAAAACUUUAGUUAACUAUAGGUUAAAUACUUAACUCCAGUAAUUUAAUGAGAUGAUUUGACUUUUUUAUUCCUCUUUAAUUAUGUUGGAAUUUUUAAAGAGGAACAUAUUUGUUAGGGCAAAAAUAUCAUUUCACUUACGAAAUAAAUGGUAUUUUAACGGUAACAAACCAGAAGAAUAUAUUUGAAAAUAUUAAGAAUUUUAUAAAAACAAUAUAUGAAAAUUGAACUUUAUAGAAAUAUAUUUGUCAUUUACUAUAUUUGUAAGGAUCUGCAUAAAAUUACUCUAUAUAUAUAAUAAUAGUAUCUUGAACUAGAAGAUUCUCCAAGUUGGCAAUGAGAGCUAGAGUGGUCCUACAAACUUUAUUACCUUUUAUUAUCUUCCAAUCAAAACCCAGGCAUUUGUAUGGACAUGACGAGUUGCAGUAGGGAUCCAAACAGGACAGACAGAUCUGCAGAUAGAAGGAUUCUCCAGCUUUUUCGGAUCGGAGCCGAAUUAAUUAUUUUAAUCUUUGACCCCUUAAUUUAAUCUUUAAGAAAACUUAAAAAUCCCCUGUUGUUUUGUUUCGCACUCUCUCAUUUUAGUACCCUGUAAUUUAAAAUAUAUCAAGUUAAUAUUCUGUGGUUUCGCACUUUCUCACUUUAAUAUCCUAUGAUUUAAAGUGUAUCAAGUUAGUAAUCUGUUGUUUUAUUUUUAUAUCAAGUUAGUAUCAUAUGGUUUUAGUUUUAUAUCAAGUUAUUACUCUGUGAAUAUUAAACCACAGGGUACUAAAGUGAGAAAGUGCGAAACCACAGUGUACUAACUUGAUAUAAUUUAAACCAUAUGGUACUAAAGUGAGAAAGUGCGAAACCACAUAGUACUAACUUGAUACACUUUAAACCACAUGGUACUAAAGUGAGAAAGAGUGAAACCACAAGGGGGUAUUUGAAGUUUUCUCUUAACCUUUUUAGGACAUAUUGUAGUUAGGUCUAAUUUUUUGCGGAUUGGAGUGGAUCAAAAAUGAAAGGGACCUCCCGUCUUUCGUUCUAUUUACUUGACGGAUCGAGAUAAAUUCGAGACGGAUUAUAUGUUUUUUUUUUUUUUUUUUUUUUUUUUUUUCAGUAUACAUUUACUGUUUUAUUUGGAAUGGAUCUCGGCAGGAACUCAACCCAUUCGGAUCCUAGCUGUAUGGAUGAUCAAUGUGCACAACCCAAAAAAGAAAAGAAAAUCUAGUUAUUACAUUGUUCUGAAAUAACCCUCUCAAUUAUAUAUUUUUUUCCCUGAUUAAGAUUAACUUUCAGUUUACCAAAAGCAAGUUAUUUAGCAAAAUUUAUUAAAUUAAUUGAUAAUUUUAUCAAAUUUAAUAGUCCAAGAUAGGAUCAAUUCUACUAAAAAAAAUUAAUUAAAAAUUCAACAAUUUUUUUAAUAAAUUAACUAUAAAAUUUUGAUUAAAAAAAAAUUAAAUGUUAAAUAAAUGUUAAUUAAACAAAUAAAUUUGAAUGGCUUAUUUUCAGAAUGGCCUAUAAUUGAGGGGAUCUCCAUACAUAUUUAGCCUCAUAUAUUUUUCCAAAUAUAUAAUUUGCUGUGCAUGUUGAACCUUCCCAGACUAUCGUUAUCUAUAGUAGUCCAAUUGUUUCUGCACGCAAUGUUUUUAAAAAUCGUAAGUUUGAACCCCUGUUACUCUCGGCUUAAAAAUAAUAAUAAUAAAAUGUUCCAAACCUUAGGUUUGGUAUGGUAGCUUUACCAAAGCCUCCUAUAUAUCUAACAUGUAUUCAAAUGUAGAUAGUAUAUGUUCAACCAUUUGAUAUAUGUAAAAGACAAUAUGGUAAAAUAAAAUCAAGUUAAAGUAAUGUCAAAAAUGUUGUUCUUCUACUUAAUUACAUAUGUAAGGUGUAAAUAUUUUGAUUAAAUGUUACUUUUUCUACUUAGAAUGCCUACUAUAAAGGACUUUAAACUUUUUACGUGAAAAUUAUUAAGAAUAGUAAUCCCAGAUCCACAAACGAAAGAACCGUUGACCUUAACGAGCGUUUCCAUUUCUAGUUAAGUUUAAAUUUUUUGUUUCGUGUUCGAACUCCUAUAACACAAAAAUCAUUGCAUAAAAUUGUUGAUAAAAUUUAAACUAUUACAGAUAAUGCAUAAUGCUCAAAAUUUUUACUGGCCAAAGAUCAUAAGUUUUAACAUUUGUUUUUUUUUUUUCCACAUAUAACAAAUAAAAAUCCUCAACAUAAGUAUAUACAUAAACAUUUUGAGUAUUGUAAAUGAUCAUAUUUAAUAGGUAAAAAAUUAUUUAAAAAUACCCACAACAUAGUUUCAUAUAGGUUGGUAGGUGACCAUGCAUGGUUCAUGCUUGCUCCAGCAUAUAUAAUUUUUCCAAUUUAUUUAAAUAUAAUUUUGAAACUCAAAAAAUUAAUUCAAAUCACUUACCCCACAACAUGAUAAUAUCAACCAUAUAUGCAUGUCUUUUCUCAAUUCUGAAGGGUUCCCAUUAAUUGCACGGCUCUGCAACGAGAAUAAUACUUAGGCUGCCUCCCUUGCUUUCUAUUUUUGCUACAAUUCAGCGAUAGUUACGUAAAAAUAAUUACCAGCAAAAAAUAUAUGUAUUUUGAAAAAGUCUAGGAUGUAACAGACACGUGGAGGACAUCGUAUUUCGAACCAGUCAAAUUGGUCAUCUUGAGUUCACCAUUUCACCAUAAUUUUUAGAACAAUAUUUUUAUUAUAAUUUUUUUUUUCUUUAGAAUAAGAGAUAUAUAUACGAUGGCUGAAUAUAGAUGACGUGGUUUGUUAUAUGGUAGACUUUUCUCUAAAUUUUAGCAAUCUUAUGAACAGAUGUUUAAAACCUCAUUUAGUAACGUGUUUUUUUUAUAUAUUUUAAAUAAUUUUUUGUAUUAAAUAGUACUGUAGGAUUGAACGGUAGAUUCUCUGUGUUUGAGCUAUAUAUUGUAAAUUGUAUGUAAAAGCUAAUUUUACUUUUUUAAAAAAUAUUUAUGUAAACUAUGAGUUAUUUGUAAAAACUAAAAUAAAAUUAUGGUCUCUGGAAUUUGAACUUAUUCUGACCUUUUAUUAGCUCUCAAAUGAGCCUAUAAAUUUAGUAGUAGGUUAAAUAAAAAUUUUAUUAUAAUUAGUGAACUUUCAUGUAAAAGUCAUAGUUUGUACAAUAGCUAUUCAAGCUCCAACCUGGAACAUGCAAAUUUGUAGGCAUCAUAUAAUUUGGUCCCAUUCACAACAUAAUGGAGAUCAAAGAAGCGUAAUGUCUAGAUUCAUUGUAUCUAUAUUUCACUGGCAAAUAAAAAUAUGUAUAUUUAUUAAUAUGUUGGCACAGGGAAUAUAAAAUUUUUAAUUAAUACAUGCACCAACAUUGUCUAAUGUAUCAUUAUAUACCUUGCAAAUAUAUCGGCAAUAUAUAAAAAAAACCCUUUUUACUAGACCCAAAAUAUUUUUUUUUUAACAUAAAUAAUGCCUGUAUUCAAUGUAUCACCACAUGAGUGAAAAAGUCUUUUAUGUUCCAAAUGAAUUUUAAUAUAUCAUAUGACAAAAUAAAGUGUCAACUUAUUAGAGAGCAAUAUAACAAAUUUAUAUAAAAUAAUAAUUAAAGAAUUAUUAUUUUAUUUUUACAAUACAGAGAUCUUUGAUUAAAUUUUUAUUUUUAUAUGAAAUAACUGCAAAAUAGAAAACUUUGAAUAAAACUUCAGUGGAGAGCAAUAAAACAAUGCCUCGUUGGCUAGUCUUAGUUUUACUUGAAUUUAAUAAUACGUUGAAACUCUACACGUUAUUGAAAAGCUUUUCACUAAAGUGUUUUUCUAAAAUCUUUCUCUCACAUGAGUAAGGUUGGCAUAUUUUACCGCCUAUUAGAAUUUCCCACGUAGAUGAGCUGUACCAAAAUUAUACUGCCAACAAUAUUGGAGAACUAGUUAAGAAAUCUGCGUGAUAUGGCAGGUAGACAUUAUUAUCAUUAAUUGUUACGACGUGUAGAUUAAUGUGGAUUUUAAUAUUAAAAUUUAUAUCAGAAUAAUAAUCUUAAUACAUUAUUAUUGAAGAACACAAAUCCACUUGCCAUGUACUACCAUUAAUUAUGUGCAUUAAUAUUUUUAAAAAUUAUUUAUUUCAGUAUUGAAUAAUUAAAAAUUAAAGAAUAAAAGUAAAGUAUAUUUUUUCUGAAACUAUCUAAACCAAAUAACUAAAAUGAAUAAACCAGUUUAAAUUUUUUUAAAAAAAAAACUCAUUGUAAAAUUAAAAAAGAUGAAUAAUAUUUUUCUAGUAUCAUCAGCGUAGAAUUUAUAAAGAAAAAAAUAUUAAAAAAUUAAUUAGAAUGAAAGUACUAUCUUUAAUAGCCCUUUGAGUAGCAUCUCCAUUAUCGUCGCCGGCUAUGAAUAGAAGCUCUCGCUAACUUUAACGCUACAGAUACAAUUAAUAAAGUACUUGAUUCCUAAAUUUCAUACCAGUGGAAUCAAUAGAUAAUUAUGAGAAGCACCAAAUAUAAGACUAAUCAAAAGGUAUUAGAAAAUAAAAAUAAAUAUUUCUUAUAUUGUAAAAAAGUUAAACUACCAAAAUAAAUAUCUUGAUAUUGUAUAUUAGGAAAAAAAUAAAUUUUCUAACUUAGGACUAAGAUCAAUAGCAUGUGAAUUAGCAAAAUAAAAGUUGAAUUCUCUCAUUUCAAAACAGUAAUUUGUUAAUUUUGAAAAAAAAAAAAAACCUAUUCAUAUUAUCAAUCAAGCAUCAUGAGUCAAUAGCCACAAUUUUAAAAGUCUUUAGUUAUAUUUGAAUAUCAUUUUUAUGAAUGAAUAUUUUAAUAUACAAAAUAAAAUUAUAUUGCUAAAGGGCUUGUCGUAAUUUUUAUUAAAAGUGGAAAGAAAUAUGCAUUAGAUGCAGAGCUCAUUAUCUUGUAUCUUCUCUUAUAUAUGGAGGUAAGUUUCUGAGAUAAUUUUUUUAAAAAAAUAAUAAAUCAACCUGGUAGUUCAAAGCUAGUUGAUCUAAUUUGUCUAAAUUUAAAUUACAUAUUUAAAUUUAAAAUUAAAAUUAAAAUUUUGAAUAUAAAUUCAUAUAUUAAAAGUAAAAUAAAAAAUUUAAGUUCGAAAUGAAAAUUUAGGUUCAAUUUAAAAUCCAAAAUUAAUUUUUUUUAAUUUCAAUUCAAAUUCAAACUUUAAAUUAAUAUCUCGUAGUUUAAAAUUUUCAAAAUUUUGAAUUUUAAAUUUUUUUGAUUAAAGUGAAAAAUAUGCAAAGUUUAGGAAUAAAACUAAGUUGGCGUUGCUACGACAAUUUCAUUAAUUUUAACACGUUUUACACGACCGGAACAUAAUUACAAUGAAAUAAAGAUAUUGAAAAUUUAACUACGAACUAAAAAAAAAAUAUUGACGGCUAAAAUAAAAAAUAGUGAAAAGUUGGAACCAAUGAUACAAUCAAUCAUGUGGGUCUCACAACACUAAAAUAAGGAAAGGAUUCCUUAACUACCACCAGACCAUGUAUUUUAUUAUAGAAUAGAUAGAUAAAUUAUAGAUAGUAUUCUUCUUCUCCUUCUAUCCCUCCUAACUACCACCAGACCAGAUACCCCUCCAUACAGAAUCUCCAAAUUGGUGGAAGAGAGAGAGAGAGAGAAGAAGAAGAAGAAGAAGAAUAGAAACAAAACUUCGAGCAGGCCGUGGCAGAGGAGGAGGAGGAGGAGGAGGAGGAGAAGCUCUCCCAACUUGGCGCUCGUCCCCUCCAUUAAUGGCGCCAUCUCCUCGAGACGAAGACGACGACCAAACGCACCACCAAAUCACCACCCCGCUCCGUAUGCCCCCUAUAUAUAUAUAUAUAUAUAUAUAUUGAAACAAUCGUUUAUUUCCAAAAGCUUAAGAGCAAAUAAACAUCCAAUGAAUUUCGAACUCAGAAUCUCCCAUUUGAAUAGCAUGUAAAACAAUCAUUUUUGUCGAAGGUAAUUAGUGCUUUUGUUUUGGACUUUGAAAUAUAUGAAAGAAGAUUGUGGCUUUUUGCAGUUGUUAAUUACGGACUUGGUACCAUUCAAACUCAAAAUUUUCUUCAAUGAUAUCAUUGUACGAAAUAAUCAUCCUCUUCUUCUUUGUCGUCUUUGGACAAGGAGAGGCUCGCUUUCUCCUCCUACCAAUUCCUUAUAUGAAAUAAUUAUUUUUCCCCAACAAUUUAAACGACAUGAAAUUAUCGCUAAGAAUCUUAAAAAUCUAGGACUAUAUGAAACGGUCGUCUGUACGUAUGAAAAUUUAAGUUUCAGCUGUCAGAGAAUGAUGUUUUGAUAUCUCGAAUUUUUCAUGCAGUCCAUUCCGAUCCCGCCGCUCCCUCUUCCUCCUUCUCGACUCCUCCAUGGCCGCCUGCUGAUGGUGCGGAGGAGGAGAAGGAGAAGGAGAAGGAGGAAGAAGAGAACUCUCCGAUCGAGCAGGUGGCGCUGACGGUGCCGAUGUGGGUGCUGGGGACGGCGUCGUGCGCGGUGCUGUCGUUCCUGAACCAGUUCUUCUGGUACCGCAAGGAGCCGCUGUCGAUCACGUCGGUGUCGGCGCAGAUCGCGGUGGUGCCACUGGGCCACCUGAUGGCGUCGGCGCUCCCCCGGCGCGCCUUCUUCCGGGGCACGCCCUGGGAGUUCUGCCUCAACCCGGGGCCCUUCAACGUCAAGGAGCACGUCCUCAUCACCAUCUUCGCCAACUCCGGCGCCGGCACCGUCUACGCCAUCCACGUCAUCACCGCCGUCAGGGUCUUCUACCGCCAGCACAUCUCCUUCUUCGUCUCCCUCCUCGUCGUCCUCACCACCCAGGUCGGUUCCUUUGCUUCUUUUCCGGUUUUCUAUCUAUAGGUAAUGCUAGCUGUACAUCUAAAAAUUAAGUAUAAAUUUUACAUUUUUAAAAGUUUUUUUAAAUUUUAAAAUUAAUGGGCGUAAAAUUCACGCCUAACUCAUAUAAGAAUGUGUAAGUAGCAUUACGCUCCCAACAUUUACUCUCGCUAUUUAUUAUUGAUUUCCUCGAAGCUGUUUUAUUUCUGACAUUAUUAGUGCUUCACUUCUGUUUUUUAUAGUAUAAUCAUAUGAUAAUAUAUAUAUAUAUAUAUAUAUAUAGAGUUGAGCUAGAAUACUAUCAGUAGUAAACGAGCCGUUUUAUUAUCUAUUUGUUUUCGAUGAUAGAGCUUCCAAAUUGACAAUCGGCUCCGUUAAAUAUGAUCUAAACCAUUUAAUAUAUCUAGAAAUCAAAUUUCACGCACUUUCGAUAUUAUUCUUUUAUCAAUCAAGUGAACAGAAAAAUGAAUGACUGAAAAUAAAUAUUCUUUAAACAAUGAUGAUAGGAGUCUUAUAAUCAAGAUCAAGAGUAUAGAUCUUGUUUUAAAUAGUUUAAAGAAUUUUCUAACAAAAAUUCAAUUGAUUUGGAUAUCUUUACGCCGUUAAACGAGAAAACACCUCUUAUCAACCAUUAAAAUUACAAAUUUUGAAACUCUUUGAUUAUUAGGCAAAUGAUGUCAAAAAGAUUUGAAAUUUGAUUUCUAAACACUUCAAGUGGUAUAGAUCAUGUUCAACGGAGCCGAUCGUCAAUUUGGAAGCUCUAUCGUCGAAAACAAAUAGAUAGUAAAACGGCUCAUUUACUACUGAUAGUAGUAUUCUAGCAAAACUAUAUAUAUAUAUAUAUAUAUAUGCAUUGUUGAUUUAUAAUUUUUUUCUAUAUAAAAAUUUGAUCUGAAAAAUAAGAAUAUAGUAUGGAUAAAGAAAUAAUGAAUUCACAGUAUACAAACGAGCUUAUUAUAAGCUAGUUAUUAUAAAGAUGAAUUAUUAAUCUAAGAGAAGGACUAUUAUGAAAUACGGUUGGAAGUUUAGUGACCAAACUGAAAUUUUAUUAAGAUAAAUAUAUAAUAGGGUAUCUAAUGUUGAAGUCACUAGUUUGAGGACAAAAUGAAAAUUGACUCAAAGUUGAGGGACCAAUACUGAAAUUUGCGCAAUUGUGCAAUGAUUUGUGCUAGGCUCACCAACCAAAACAAGCUUAAAUCCUAAUUAAAAUACUGCUGCUAACCGUAUCUAGUACAAUGGUUAAAAAUUUGAUGAUUAGUAUCUGAAUUUCUAAAUUAGAAAUCUAAAUAAUUCAUAUUUUCAACUAAGUUUAUUUUUAGAAAUAAAUAAGAUAACUUGAUACUUUUUUUCAAAAUAUUUUACUAUAAUUUCGAAAAAGAUAAAAUAGUAUAAUUAUUUUAAUCAAAAAAAAUAAAAUAGUAUAAUUUGAAUUAAACAGUUGCAAAGGGGAUGAUGAUUUCAAAACCUUGCGUUCUAUAUUCGACGGUACCACUCACAAGCACAAGAUGAGUAUUUAAAUGUAAAGCUCAUUAAAAGUAAGGGGGUAGGGGUGGCAAUCCAGCUCGCCAUUCGUGAGCCAACUCGUGUUCGGUAUGAAAUGAAUUCGAGAUCGAAUCACUCGUUUAGUAAACGAGCCGAACACGAGCUGGGAUCAGCUCGCUCAUGUUCGGCUCAAUAACAGCUCGAAUACAUAUAUUUUAUAUUUAUAUAAUUUAUAUAUUUUAUAUUUAUAUAAUAUAAUAAAUAAUUAUAUAUAAUAUAUAUAUUUUUAUUAUUUAAUUUUUAGCAGAAUAAAAAUAUAAAAACGAGUUCAAUUAUAAAAAUACUCAUUUAUAUAUAACGUUUCAACUAUUAGAUCAAAGUCUAAUGGAUAAAAUUUUAUAAAUUUAUUUUUUAUAUAUAUUCAAUCUAAUCCUUUUAACUUAAUGUUCGUUGGUCAGCUCGUGAGCCAGCUCGAUCUUGUUCGACUCGUUUAUUUACGAGCCGGUGCCAGCUUGCUCGAACAAGGCUUGUUAACACCUAUAGGGGUGUAGAGAACAAAAGGAAGGGUUUAAUGAGAUUUGAACACUAAUAAUACAUAAAAUAACUAAUUAUUUCAUAGUAUUGUUUAGUUCAAAAAUAAGCUGUUCUUACUUACUUUUAAUACGGGCACAACUUCUAGGAUAAGUAAAAAUAUGCCCAACUGUGUGUUUGAAUAAAAAUUAAAUUAUUUUUAGGAAUAAGAAAUAUUAACGUUUUGACUAAUAUAUUGACUAAAUAAUUAAUUAGCUAAUUUAUAUUGAUCAGCCAAUUAAUAUUUUGACUAAUAUAAUUAAUUUCUUAACGAAUUAUCAAACUAAUUAAAUAAUCUACUAACCAAUUAAAAUUUUAACUUAUUUUUAUAAUUAAUUAAUUAAUUAAUUAAUGCCUUUUUUAUUAUUUUACGCAAUAUUCUUAGCUAAAAAAUUUAAUAAUUUAUUAUUUACUUUAUAUUUCAAUGUCAAUUAAUUGGACAAAAUAAUUUUAUUUUAAAUUACAAUUAUUCUUAUUCCCGUUAUUCUAAUAUAAUCAUCCAAACACUAUUAUUUUUUAUACCUAGAGACAAUCAAGUUUUCAUAUAAACGUAAAAUUUGUUUUACUCCUACUUAUUUUUUAAGUUAUAACUAUUUCAAGAAUAAACAAAUUCUGUUUAUUUCUGAACCAAACGAUUAUUAGAGAAUAGUAUUUUUAGUGUUCUAUAUACCGUAAAUAUGUCAAACCACGGGAGGCUUUUCGAUAUAAUAUAUAUUUUUUUUGUGCGCCUAAAUUGUUCAGGUUUUAGGGUUUGGGUGGGCGGGGAUUUUCCGGCGGUAUCUGGUCGAGCCGGCGGCGAUGUGGUGGCCGUACAAUCUGGUCCAGGUAUCCCUGUUCAGGUACCAAUUCUUUUUUUUGAUGCUAAUUUAUUUUCUUUCCGCAAUUAUUUUUGGCAAUAAUUAUGAAUUCUAAUUUUGGGAUCUCUUAGUUUGACGAAAUAAAUAGCUGUUACUCUAAAAAAAAGCUACUAAAAGUGAUGAUUUUAUUUUACAUACCCAAUGUGGAUAUUGCAGAGAUCGUGUAUAUUUUACCUUCUAUUUUCAUCAAUUUUUAGAGAUUUUCAUCAACAUAUAUGCGUAUACGCAUACUAUUAAUUAAAGAAAGAUGGGCAGAAAAACUUUAUCGCUUAUGUAAACAGGCAACUGAUCUUUCAAUUUUAGCAACUAAAUCUUCUAAGUUUUAUAAAAUAGUUCAAUAAACCCAUCUUUUUAAUUAAAACUACUAAUUAUAUAACCGUUUUGACCACAUGCCUUUAAUUUUUUUAUUCUAACCUAUUUUUCUACUAUUGUACUUAAUUCAGAAAUGGGAGAAAAAAAUAAUAUUUAUUUAGUUUAUAUGUAUAAUAUCCAAUCAAAAUGGUUGUAUAAUUUAUAAGUUUGUUUGAGGAGAAUAACCCAUUAAAUUAUUUGAUAAAGUUUUGAAGAUUUAAUAAUAAAACUAAAAGUCCGGAUGAGACUCCAGAUAGUUCUAUACAUAAAAUAUAAUAGGACUAAAACUCUUAAUUCGGUUUAAGUAUUUUGGAUGGUGGUUAGGCUCAAGAGAUUAAGAGAGUUAAGCGUACUAGGACGAGAGUAAUUUUAGGAUGGGUGACCCUCUGGAAAGUUGAGGCAUCACAGCAGAUUUAGAGAAGAGCUAAGAUUCAGGGGUACGUAUAACGUUAUAUAAAUAAACAGUAAUUAAAAUUAAAAAGUAUAUAAAAACAAAAAUGUCUCUGUACAAUGUGUUAGAACAAAUGUCGCAACGAAAUCUGAUUGUGAUUUAAAUCUAACUAAAUAUUAUUAUGAAAAUAAAUAAAUACAAACUUACAGAUAAAUGCAAAUCCAAAUAAAUAUUUAAUUGAUCCGGAAGCGUGCGAGGCACUGCCCUAAGGCGUAUUCCCGUCCUUACGUGCGGGAUUAACCGGGAACAACACCCCAAGGUACGACCGGAAUUUCUCCUCCUGCGAGCACGAUCGUGAAGGAGGUUGACGAAGACUCUUUCAACACCCAGCGAUUAACAGAAGAAAAUUAACUUAUGAAAAGGAAACUCAAAGUAAAAAAUUCUAUUCACUAUUCUUCAUGCAUAAAAUAAUAUAUCACUCUCUACUGACCACAGUAGAUGUAUAUAUAAAUAUAUGCAUGAAGGUUGUAGAGUUGAACGUUGGGAAUCCCAACGUUCACUUCCGCUUAAUUAGUUUCAAGCAAAACGUCCGCCGAUAAUUAGUCCCGCACAUGACGCGGACGGGCACGGAGCCGGACGUGCGCAACGUCCGCGCACAUUCCGGACUAAAUAAAAACACAAUAAAUAUAAUUAUAAAAAAAAAUAUAGAAAAAAUAAAAUUAAAAGAAGUAAUUAAUAAUUAAAAUAAGAUAUAGGAUUACGAAUUUUAUAUGGGAUUUUGAAUUUUCAUCAACACAAUGUUCAUUACAGUUCUAUGAGCUGGUGAUGUUGAUCCUAACUUGAUAUCAUUUGUGGGACCGCAGAGUCCUCAUUAAAAAUAGCAAAAGAAGUUAGUUUUUACUGCUUUUAUAAAUUAUUAAUUAAUAUAUUUAUAUACAAAAUAAGUUAAAUUAUUAUUCUAGUGUGAAAUAUUAUUAAAUUCAUCAAUACAUCAGUAAAUAAUUCUUUUAGCUUAAUUAUAAAUUAAAUCACUGUGAAAACUUUAUCUCGACCGCGUCUCAAAUAUCUCAAAUAAUAAAAAAAAAUUGAAUUUGAAUUUAUAUUUAAAGCUAAAUUUAAAAUUAAAUUCAAAAGCGAUAUUUAAAGUUUGAAACUUACCAAAAUUAAAUUUAGUCAUAAUUAUAAAAAAAAAAACCCGCAUUUUAUCCUAUAUCUGAAAUACCCUUUUUAAUCCAGCAUAGCUGUUGACGUGGUUGUCCACGUGGCGCCAUAUCAGCCUAACUACUAUUCCUUCAUACUUUGCUCUUCUUAAAAUUUUAAAAAUAUUUUCAAAAAAAUAUUACGUUAAUGGAGAAGGCAAAAUGACUAAACUAUGCUUAUUUCUUCUAUAAGAAAAAAUUAUUUUUAAUAUAUUUCUGUUAUUUUGCAGAAUAUUUUCGAUAUAAAUUAUAAGAAAUUGACGGAAUAAUGAUAAAACCGUGAUAGAGGGAGAGCGAAAUUCAACAACUUGAAAUGUUGAGGAAAUAAAAUAUAAAUUUUUAAAAAAUAGGAAGGAAAAAAAAAAAAAAAGUAGAUACUUAUAAUAAGGAGGUUUCUAUAAUUUAGCCAUAAUAUUUUUUAAUAUGAUAUGUAUGGAUGUGAUUAAUUAGUUACUAAUUCUGUAUAUAGUAUAAAGCUAGCUUACAUGCUAUUGCUGCUUAAUUAAUUAAACCAAACUUUUUCCCUUCGCAAACCAAUAUUUUCCCACUAUGUAAUAAAUACAUUUGAUAAGUGUUAAUAGUAGUUUCAAUUGCUAUAAAUGUAGUCACAAUUUUAGGAACACCAUUAUUAUCUAAUUAAAAUUUUCAUUGUAGCCAGAUCACAGUAAUGGAACAUGAUCACCCCUGCUAUAAAAUUAUAUAUUAAUUAUUUUUGUUAACAACAAUGUAAUGAAUUAGAUCAGAAAUUGUAUUGAAGCAUAGUGAAAUUAGAUAUAGAAAGCGAUAUAUAGCUACUACGAUAAUUAGAAAAAAAAAAUAAUUAAGGCCCUGUUUGGAUGUUGAAAUCAAUCAAUCUUAAUUAACUUAUUUUAAAAAAAUUGCAUUUGAAGCAUCACCCAAUAAGUUACAAAUAGCUACUAGUGAAUUUAGCUAGAUAUGGAAAGCGAUAUAUAGCUACUACAAUAAUCAGAUACUACGAUAAUCAGAACCUGUUUGGAUGUUGGAAUCAGUUAUUUUUAAAUAACUUAUUCAGCAUAAAAUUUUUCUUGUAUGAUUGAAAAUAAAAAAAAAAAAGUAAUUUUUACUCCUUAAAAGAUCUUGUCAUUCAUAAUUUGGUAGAAUAAUAUAUUUUACCUAUAAGAGGACUUAUCUUAUUGUAAAAAAUUGACUAGGAAGUAAAAUAUAUAUAUAUAUAUAUAUAUAUAUAUAUAUAUAUAUAUAUAUANUGUAAUAUUGAAGCGUCACUCAAUAAUACAUAGCUACUAUAAUAAUCAUGGAAAAAUUAAGUAUCUAGCUUGAAAUUUUACGUAACCUCUUAAUUGCAUAGAAUUAUUUGAAGUUUCAUUUUCUUGUACAGUACCUUUUACAUAAUCUCACAACACACAAUUGGAGAAUAAUAUAUAUAAUAAUAGGUUGAUUGAGAGGGAGGUUUAGGUCCUUUUUUUUUUUGGCACUUUCUUAGUUUCUCAUUAUUAGUUUGAACUACUAAUUAAUUUCUUGUUAAUCCUGCAAAUGCAUUACAUGUGCCCUAUAAUUUGACCUUAUCAUUUGAAAGAGUAAUGCUUUAGAUAUUCCUUAUGCGUCAUUUCAGUGAUAGUGCCAAUAUGAAUUAUGCGAAAUAUACCAACAUAUGAAAGACUUUUUAUAGAUCAUUAAAACUCACCUAUUUCAAAAAAAUGAUACUAUCUAUAAUCUGAAAAGUCUGGUGCUCGAACCUUCUGCUAUGAGAGAUAUAUUGCUGAGAGUGCGAACUGUGAACUAUAAAUAAAAACUUUUCGAAUAAAAACAAGGCAUUCUGAACAGCAAAGAGUAAUUUAGGUAGGAAAACUUUUUAAGUCCCGCACAUUUGUCAUUAUAAGGAUUUUAAUUAUUAAAAAUUUGACCACCAAUUGCACAUCACUAUGAAGGAAUCUCCUAGCUAGCAUGCCCGUUCAAAUUAACAUGGAAGUUAUUAUGUAAGCUAAAUAGAAGUCAACUCACCUUAAUUGCACUACCCAACUCCUCAAAUUUUAAAGGGGACUCUGGGUUUAGUUGCAUGUGCAUUCUCCGGGUUCAUUAAUUAAAAAAACAUGGUGGGGAGAGGUCGUGCUCUAUAUAAGUUAAUAGCACCUUCAUUGCUGCAGUAGUACUACCUCAAGGGGUGGCUUAGAAAAGUUCCAUAGGGUGGCGUUUGGUUCGGGGUUAAAGGGGAUAAGCACGUCCCCCCACCCGCUCCGCGAACAUAAAUUUUGGGGGUGGGGUUAACUAAUCCCAUCCCAAUAACCAUUUGGGGUGGGGUUAACUAAACCUUGAAUAGGAAUGAAAUUAGUUAAUUCCAUCCCUAUUUAAUUUUAAAAUAAAAAUUUUAAAUUUUAAAUUUUAAAUUUUAAAAUAAGAUAUUGUAGUAUAAAUUUUAAAAUUAAUAUUUAUUUUUUAAAUUUUAAAAUUUAAAAUUAUUAUUUUUAAUUAUUUAAAUUUUAAAUUUGAUAUUUUAUAUUUGUAACUUAAAUUUUUUAAUUUGAGAUUUAAAAAUAUAGAUUUUAAUUUUGAAUUUUAAAAUUUAAAAUUUAAAUUGUUAUUUUUAAUUAUUUAAAUUUUAAAUUUAAAUUCAACUAUAAUAAUUAGGGCAAUAUCAUUUUUUUUUAUUUAUAAUAACUCACUAUUCUUCUUAUUCCAUCUUAUCUAUCGAAACGCCAUUUUUUUUAAUCCCGGUAGCAACUCAAUUAUCAUCCAAACGUAAAAUUAGUCUAUUGAAUAAAACUUUAGUAUAAAGCUCUCAAAUAAUAUCUUAUUAGAGUGUUCUCGAUCUACUGUCACUUAUUAAUUUUAUAUUUAUCUAAUAAUUUAUUAGAUGUUCUUAAUAAGAUUAAAAAAAUUUGAAACACUGGAAAAGGAUUAUAAUUUUUAGCACUGCAUUGUUGCAGAGCUCUACAUAAGUUUUUUUUUUUUUUUUCUCAUUUACAUGAUAAUCUUACAUUGAGACUACACACUAUUUUGGUAUCAUCUUUCACAUAGAACAAUUGGUAGAUAUCCUUUUCUUUCAGAUUUGAUUCUGCAUUAAAGUGGGAUUUGUGCAUGUGCUUUGCAUAUUAUGUUAUCUCAUUAAAACAAAAAAAAUUCAAUCCGUCAAACCGCUAGAAAUCAUACCAAGCAUCCUUUACAAAUGAAUAAUGUAUGAAAUAAGACUGACAAUUAAUAACAUUAGUGAUAAAGAGUUUGAUGGUUGGUAUUCAAUGUCUCAAAUUCGAAAUAGAGUUAUUUUAUUUUCAGCUAAUGUUUGUAUGUUAAAAAAAAUAAAGAAAGUGAACAGUAUAUUAUCUUUCUUUUAAAAAUAAUGUGACUUUUAAAGAGUUGAGCUAGAAUACUCUCAAAAGUAUCAAGGGGUUGGUGCUUUUGAGUUUUUAGCCAUUAGAUGAAAAGAUGUAGGGUUGAGAUAAUGGUGGUAGGUGGUGGUCGGUGGAAUAGUGUUUGAUCCAAAAGUUAUUAGUAAUCAAGGAGUAGAUCCAAGGGUUAGAAACUCAAAAGCACCAAAGGAUUGUUUCUUUUGAGAGUAUUCUAGCUCAAUUCACUUUUAAAUAUUCACCGCUCCCAGGAUAGUAAUAAAAAAAAGGCAUAAAGAUCCCCUCAAAUUAUAGGACUUCCAGAAAUAGACCUUACUAUUUUCCUCUUGAUUAAAUCCUUCUUAAACUUUUAAUUUUUCAUUUCGGUUUCUAUACUUAGCUAACUUAAAGAUUUUAUUAAAUUUAAUAAGAGCAAUACUAUCCAUACACUCUAAGAAAUGCAUAUCAUAUACCACAUCAAUCUAAUAGGUGAGAUUCAUUAUUUGUCAAAUAAUGUGAUUAGUGAAAUAAUCUCAUUCAUUAGAUGGCUGGGUGUAGGGAGGGGUCUAAAGACGGCCUGCGGCCCGCCUAGCCCGGCACUAGGGUAGGCCGGGUCGAGGCACGGCAUGAGUACUAUAGCACUUGUGCCAGGCCGGCCCGGCCAGAUGAACCGGAUCGUGUUCGGCCUCGCCCUCGUGGCCCGGUGGCCCGGCAUGAAACUGGCCUGUGCCUUGCCAGGCCUGAGGGAAGGCCCGGCCCGGCACUACACAGCCCGUGUCUACCGAGCCGACAAGGCCCGGCCACUCGGAGUUGGGUCGUACCCAACUCCCAAGACCUCCCAACAUCGAAUGCUUUGGGAGUUGGGAUGUGCAGCCUUGUGGCUCUCCCAGGGAGGAAUUCUACACGGUCACACUUACACCACAUCAUUAAUAACAAACUAAUCACAUUUCUUCUUUUCAAACAGAUGUACAAUAAAAAAUAUUUUUUUAUAAUAAUGAUGGGACAUAUAUCUAUAUCUAUAUCUAUAUCUAUAUCUAUCUAUACUAUAUAUAAAAGCGUAUAGGAAUUCCGACAAUAACAGACGGAAUCCAAAAAGGAACAAAAGAAUAUUACCUGCGAAUGGUUAUGAUUAAUUUGUUAAAAAUAUCUCAAAUAAAAACAAAUGGUUAUGAUUAAUCUAUUAAAUAUAAAAUAAUAUUUACUACGAUUGGUUAUGAUUAAUUUAUUAAAAUAUCUCAAAUCAAAAUGAACGGUUAUAAUCAAUCUAUUAAAUCUCUACUAUAUAUAAAAGUCUAUUAUCUACAAAUACUUAUGAUCAAUUUGUUAAAAAAAAAUCUCAUGCGAAUGGUUAUAAUUAAUUUGUUAAAAAUAUCUCAAAUAAAAAUAAACGGUUAUGAUUAAUCUAUUAAAUAUAAAAUAAUAUUUACUACGAAUGGUUAUGAAUAUUGUAAAUAUUUUCUAAUAUUUAAAAAAAAAUAUUUGAUUAGUUUGUUACGCCACAUCACCAAAAUACCCGUUUGCAUUCUAGAAUUUUUCCUCACAGGGGCGGGCCUGCUUGGGAGAUGGGCAUUUUGAUCCCUUUUGGACCAAAUACCCUCCGUAAAAGUCAAAGAUUUGACUGUUUGGAUAUUUUGGUCCAAAAAAUAUUAAAAUUUUUUACAUAAUUUUAAAAUUUUAAUAUUUUUAUAAAUGUAUUUUAAAAUUUGAAAAUUUCUCCACUCAUAUAUUGUUUUUUUAAAAAUAAUAUUUUAUUUUUAUUUUCUUAAAAUUUUAAUUUUUAAAAAUAAAAUUAAUAAAUAAAAAAGGGCCGGCUUGAAGCCCAACCGGGCCUGGCACGUGCAAUCCAGACCCGGGGGUGUGCUUCACUAGGGGUCCAAGAACUUUGGCCCGGCAUGACACAGCCUGACUUUGGGAAUGGGCCGUGCCGGGGUGGCCUCCGGCACGUUUCCCACCCGGCUAAAUGUAGGCCAUGCCGACCCUACACGGUCCACAUUACACCUCUAGGUGUAGAGGUGGCAAUACAGCUCACAUAUCACGAGCGAGCUCGUGUUCGGUCGAGAUGAACUCGAGAUCGAAUUGUUCAUUUAGUACAUAAGCCGAACACGAGCCGGAGUCAGCUCACUUAUAUUCGGCUCAAUAAAAAUAUAUAUAUAGAGAGAGAGAGAGAGAGAGAGAGAGAGAAUGAAGCAAACGCCAGUGAGUCUUUGUGAAACAUAAUUAUAGCUAUAUGCGACUAUUUACAACUCUAAUGCCCUAAAAACUUCCACCACACGAUAUAAUCAUUGAGGGGUUCAAGAAAAAUAUCAGAAGAAAAGUGGAAAUGCCAUUCAAGCAUGGAGUGAAAGAACUAACACUUUGUUCUAAACAAUUCAACAAUGGUUUUGAACCUCGAAAAUAAAAGGUAUAUUUGGUAAGACACUGCUGUAAUACAUUUAGCACUGAGAAUCUAAUUUAACCUUGGCCGAAUGAUUUAUACUUCUAUAACAAUCAAAAUUUGGUAAAUACUCACACGAAUCGCAGCAACAAUAGCUAACUCAUCAGCUUUGCAUCAUUGUCCACAGGGCACUCCAUGAGAAAGAAGAGCGGCCAAAAGGCAGCCUGACUCGCAACCAGUUCUUCAUGGUGGCCUUCAUCUGCAGCUUCGCCUACUACGUGUUCCCUGGCUACUUAUUCCAGAUGCUCACCUCCCUCUCUUGGAUCUGUUGGAUCUUUCCCCAGUCCGUCCUAGCCCAACAACUUGGCUCGGGGCUACGCGGGCUCGGGAUUGGCGCGAUCGGACUCGACUGGUCCACCAUCUCCUCCUACCUAGGCAGCCCACUCGCCAGCCCAUGGUUUGCCACUGCUAAUAUAGCAGUCGGGUUCGUAUUCAUAAUGUACGUCAUUACCCCCAUUGCAUACUGGCUCAACGUUUACAAAGCGAAGACUUUUCCCAUCUUCUCCGACGGUCUUUUUACUUCCGCCGGACAGAAGUACAAUAUCUCAAGCAUUAUAGACUCCGAUUUCCACCUGGAUGUAAAGGCUUACGAGAAGAACGGACCUCUCUAUUUGAGCACCUUCUUUGCGAUGACUUAUGGUGUCGGGUUCGCCUCGCUAACGGCAACUAUUAGCCAUGUCCUCCUCUUCCACGGAAGGUAAUUGUUGGUAGACGUUGGUGCUUAUUUUCAUCUUGUUUUCGAAUGGGUUGACUUGCGUCCACCUACCUGCAAAGUUUUUUUUAUUUCUGUUUACAUCUUUGUGAUAGCAGCCUGUAGAGAAGCUCAAAUAUAACAGAAUAUAAUAAUAGUUGGAAACAUGCGGUAGCAUUAGAACAGACUGUUAUAAGAGUCAAUUUAUUGCAACGGAAAUCUAGCAGUGAAGCAAUCAACAUUUCAGUCACUAUUUGCUUCUCUGGCAAUUUGUAAAGCAACAAAAACAUAAAUGACUAGUGAUAAUAAAAAUUGAUUUCUCAAUUAGAACAACAAAUGUAAGGGACAUUAAAUGUAUAGCUAAUGUGGACUGUGCAGAGAAAUAUGGCAACUGAGCAAGUCGGCAUUUCAAGAAAAGAAGAUGGAUGUGCAUACAAGGCUCAUGAGCAGAUAUAAGCAGGUUCCAGAGUGGUGGUUCAUAUGUAUCCUUAUAGUCAACAUAGCAGUCACCAUCUUCGCGUGCGAGUACUAUGUCGACCAACUACAGUUGCCAUGGUGGGGCGUAUUGCUUGCCUGUGCACUAGCCAUUUUCUUUACUCUCCCCAUUGGAAUCAUCACAGCAACCACCAACCAGGUACUGUCAUACUGAUCUAGUUAUAAUAGUACAUACAAUCCAGAAAAUCCAGGUUUAUAUGCAGCCAACCGACAAAGCACCUGUUUUGGAUGCUAAAACCCUCAUAUCUCUAGUUUUCUUAGGGCCUGUUCAGAUGUCGGAACUAGUUAUCUAGUGAUAAUUCAUGCGCAACAAGGAUUUUCUUUUGUGAUUGCAACCUAAAGAGUUUUUUUUAGUCCCUUGUAAGGUCCGGACAGUUAUGACUUCGUAGAAUAGGGCAUUCCACCUACAAAGCGGCCUAUCUUAAUCCAAGAAAAUGACUUAGAGAAAAAAAAAAAAGAAAAAAAAGAAAAAAAAACCAAAUAUAAUGUACCAUUGCAGCCAUGUAAUAUACUCAUCUACUGAUCAUUCGAGGUCCCUUGAGUAAGCAAAAAAGAUAUGACAAACAAGAUGCUCAAAGCAUGACAACUUGUUCAGCAUAUUUCUUGUGUGAACUAAACAGGCAUGCGGCGAUUUGUAGAUGGGGAGUAUGAAACGAUGUCCAAAACCGCAUAAUAUAUGAGCUGUAAGUCAUUUUCAUAGGAAUAUGAUAAAUCAAUUUCAUGGAAUUCACCAUCCUGAAAAGUCAUGAUCAUGAGAAUCUUGCGACAGGCUAAAAUAUUCUUAGAUUACAAUCACAAAGGAAAUUCCUCCGAUAUCACAACAGUUAUCUCUAGAUAACAUGAUAUGACAUCAAGAUAGGCCCAUAAUAACUAAUUUUCAAUUGGUCUUUCAAAAGUAUGAAAAGAUGGCUAUAAGGCAACAAGGAAUAAACAACUUCCCUGUUAACAUAUAUGACGAAUCACCGCAAUGGUGAAAUGCAGUAGAAUUAAAAAAAAAAAAAAAAAAUCUGAUCAUUGCAAUCUUACAGUAGACUAAAAUCAAACCUUAUAUUAUAAUAACCAAAAAAAACUAUCGAACACCAGUUAUCACCAUAUAAGUGUGUGACAUCCAAACCGGCUCUUAAUCUCUUUCAUUCAAUUAUUCACUCAUGAUAGUCAACAAAGAUCAACCGUAUAAUAGCCGUUUGAAUCUCUUUCAUUGAAUGAAACAGACUCCUGGCUUAAACAUCAUCACGGAAUACAUUAUGGGUUAUCUGUACCCAGGACGCCCUGUUGCAAACAUGUGCUUCAAAGUAUAUGGGUACAUUAGCAUGCAACAGGCAUUGACAUUUUUGCAAGACUUCAAGCUGGGGCACUACAUGAAGAUCCCACCAAGAACUAUGUUCAUGGCUCAGGUCAGUUCCCUUACUCGUCAGUAGCUAAUGUUUCCUCGAGAUAGUUUCAACUUAUAAAGAACUAAUUAUCUAUGCUAGAACAUGUUAUCAUUUGUUAGUCCAUAUUCUUCACCUUUUGACGUCUAAAGUAAACAUAUGACUAAGCACCAAACUUAUUUAAAGAUGCGGAGCCAGUGACCUAUGAUCAUAACCUGCGACUAUAUUCUUCACUGUAACCUGUGACCUAAUCCUAUUAACAAAUUGAAAUUUUGCCCUGUAUUAAAUAUUAAUCAAGAUAACUAGAAGCAGUUAUGCAUCAGAAUAUUCAAUCAACAAGGGUAAUUACUCCCGGAAUAUUCUGGUAUCCCAUGUAACAAGCACACAGAAGUGUAGAGAUAAUGAUGAGGCUUUGCAGCCAUGCCUACCUUCUUCUCAUACAGAAACUGAAUUCAUGUACUUGCCUAUCACUCUUAAAUUAGCAUAUAGUGCAAUAAAGGUUCUGAUCAACUACCACUAACUCAAAAAUGAAAAAUGGCAGGUGGUGGGAACCCUGAUUGCAGCAUUUGUGUACCUUGGAACAGCUUGGUGGCUCAUGGAGACAAUCCCCAACAUCUGCAACACCGAGCUCCUCCAAUCUGACAGCCCAUGGACAUGCCCUGGCGACCAUGUGUUCUACGAUGCCUCGGUCAUAUGGGGCCUCAUAAGCCCCCGCAGGAUCUUUGGCGACCUAGGCAGCUACUCAGCCGUCAACUGGUUCUUCCUUGCAGGGGCCAUCGCCCCUCUCCUUGUCUGGUUCGCCCACAAAGCCUUCCCUGGUCAGGAGUGGAUACAAUUGAUCAACAUGCCCGUGAUGAUUGGUGCUACAGGCCAGAUGCCCCCAGCUACCGCUGUCAACUAUACUACCUGGAUAUUAGUGGGCUUCCUUUCAGGCUAUGUUGUUUAUAAAUACCGGCGAGAUUGGUGGCAACGACAUAAUUAUGUACUUUCUGGCGCUUUAGAUGCGGGGUUGGCGUUCAUGGCAGUGUUGCUUUAUCUUUGCUUGGGUUUGGAGAAUAUUAGUCUCAAAUGGUGGGGCAAUGACUUGGAUGGGUGUCCUCUGGCUUCUUGCCCCACCGAAAAGGGCAUUGUUGUAGAGGGAUGUCCCCUUUCGUGGUGAUGCUGAACUGCCAUGCGCCUGAAGAGUACUAGCAGAAUAGAGUAAUCAUUUGUUUGUAGAAAUGCAGAACAGAAUGAAAGUAUGUUAGCAAUUGUUUGAAAUUUCUUAAGAAACGGGAAAUCUAUAUUUGGUUUUCUACCUGGUUUUAAAAUUGGGAGCAAUUUAUUAAUAUAGAGCCCGUAUUAGAUAGUUUUGGAUCUAUUUCAUGAAGUAAUUUGCUAGUCCUAAUAAAACAGGAAUCUAGACAGAUUAAGACAGUCAGCCAGCAACCUAACCAAGUAUAGUGAAACCAAAAUCCAGCACUAAACAAUAAUAGAGUUACAAAUUAUAUUUUCUUUUAAUCUCUUAAGUAUAACAAAGCACCUUCAGACAUAUUCGUAAAAACUUCUCAGCGAUAAUAACUUCCUGCCUUGAUUUCUCCACAAAAGCUAUACCCUGAAGAUAAAACACCUAAAACAAGAACAGUCAAGACUACAGUUCCUGAUUAUUUCCGAAAUCUUCCGCUUUCCUUCUCUUUUUUUUCUUAAUACAUAGAUGUCCACAACAUUUAAAUCAUGAAGCUCUCCUCAUGGUCCAGCUCCACUUAGGUGGUUCAAUGGAGCUUUAGGAGAUGGAAAGAGAGAUCAUCUUUACAAAUGAGAAAGUAAAGAAUGGCACCAAAGGCUAAGCUUCCAAACUUUCCCUCUAGAGAUAAAUUUAAAAGAUUAUGUUUUAGAGAACCUAUAAAAGGCCACUUCUGCCCAAAAUCUUCAAUUCACACACACACACACACACACACACACACACACACACAUAUAUAUCCACUUAAACAAUUGGAAAAAUUUAAAGAUUAUCUUGCCUACAUUAUUUUUACAAAUGCUACAUGAUUGCUGCAUUAUUUUAUUACAUCCUCAGAAGUAACUGUUACUGAUGCUAAUAAAUAAGGCUUUACAAAUCAAUUCUAUAUUAUUAUUAAUAUGUUACAUCAUUGAGAGAAUCCAGUGAAAUGAUCCUCAGCACUUUAGAAUCUCAAGGUUUCACUACUAGAGGACAGAAAACAUAUGAAUACACAAUAUUUCAAGAUGCUGAGCUCGAAAUCACCUGGUCAAUUGAUUCUCAUGAAGUAGGUAGGCAGCAGUUCAUCUGUGUUUAAAGAAGUGGUGAGUCCGAUGAAGUUAGCUGGGACCUAAAAUCAGCACGCAUGUGUUCAAUGUAAUUGCUGGUAUAUCCAUUCUCGUCUUCAUCACAAUCAAAAGUCGUAAAAUUAAUUUGUGGGAACUUGAUGCUAUCUCAUUGGCACAAUCUUCGGCCGCUUUCCACAUGUAAUAGAAAAAAAAAAAAGGAAAACUCUCAAAUUGCAGUAGCUCUAUACCUUUUGCACCAACAAAUAGUCAGAAUGAGAAUAAGAAGCUUCAGCUCUACAUAUAAUGUGCCAAGCCGCCAAAAGAAUAUGAAGCGCCAGUUCCAAAAAAUUGUUUGUAUAGUUACAUCUGUAAUACGGCAUCAAGACGUUCAUUCCAAGCAUCAUUUCCAGUGACCGACUUCCUAAUAAAAACCUCCCAACAAUCCCCAUCGAAGAAACUCCCUCUACUCGAAGCCGCAGCUUGAACAAGUUUAUCAACCUCCUCUUCGUUGCCCGAUUUAUAGAUUCCAUCAACUAACACUUCAUAAGUGAACUUAUUUGGCGCACACGCGCUAUCCAACAUCUCCUCCAAGAUCCGAACCCCUUCUUUCGCCUUCCCCACCUUACAGAACCCUUUGAUCAGCACAUUAUACGUGAAGGCGUUCGGCGCGCACUUCCUCUCCACCAUAUCGUCCCACAGCCUCCCCGCCUCUUGCAACUCCCCGUUCUCACACAUACCCGAUAUGAGCGUGUUGUACGUCAACAGACUCGGAAUAAACCCCCUCUCAAAUUCAUCGAACAGCUUCCGAGCGUCCCAAACCUUGCCCUUCUUGCAAAGCCAGUAAAUUAGCGUGCUCGUGACGGAGUUAUCGGGCAUGACAUUCUUCUUUAAAAGCUUCUUCCAAAUCUCGCACGCAUUCUCCGGCUUUCCGUCCUCGCACAACGCGUCAAUCACCUUACAACAAAGCGGCGAGCCAGGUACAUAAUUCGCGUCCAGCAUGUCUCUCAUCAAAUUGAGGGCUUCCCCGGAUUUCCGCUCUUUACAGAAGGCUUCGAUCACGACCGAGUAGGUGACGUCGUUCGGCCGGACUCCGGAAUCCUCCAUCUCGUCCAUGGUCCGGACCGCGUCCUGCAGGCGGCCGCGGUGGCAGUAGCCGUCGAUGAGGAUGGUGUAGGCGGUGACGUCGGGGGCGCAGCCUUGGCGGACGAUGUCGUCGACGAGAGCGCGCGCGGCGGCGAGGUCGCCGCGGGAGCAGUGGUAGGAGAGGACGGUGGUGUAGGAGACGACGUUGGGGGAGGAGUUGCGGGAGGAGGCGUCGGCGGCGGGGGCGGAGCGGGAGGUCGCCGAGCGAGAGGAGGCUUGGAGGGCGAUGUUGCAGGUGCAGACGUUGGGGCGGAUGGCGAAGCGGGGGAGCGGCGAGAAGAGGCGGCGCGAGGCGGGGCGCGCGGCUGACGGGAGGAGGGCGUUGAGGAGGCCGUUGAGGGAGCGGGCGGAGGGGCGGGCGCGCCGAAGGAGGGGAGGGAGAGAAGAGGCGAGGGCGCGGCGGGCGGGAGGCGCCGGCGAGGGCGCGAUGAGGUGGACGAAGCGUCCUCGCCGCAGCGGAGAGGGUUAGGGUUGGAGGGGGAGGGGAGGGAGGUGGGCGGCGGAGGAGGAGAGAGGAGGGGGGAGUAGGCGGGGGAGGGAGGAGGGGGACUGGGCGAGGCGGAGGAGGAGGGAGUGGUAGACCGGGUAGGUGGGGACGAAGCCCGGGACGAAGCGGAGGGCGUGGUUGAAGGCGCGGAGGGCGGAGAGGGGGUCGGGCUGGCGGCGGAUGAGGAGGGCGAGGCGGCGAGGGGAGAGAGGGGAGGGCGGCCAGGGCUGGACGGGAGGGGUGACGGUGUAGGAGGCCAGCAGCUCGGAGGAGGACCGGACGGACGCCAGGUGGGAGAGGUCCACGAUGGGCUUCGACAGGUGGGAGAGCUCCACCACCGUCGACAGCAGCCGGCGGAGGCCCAGGCGGGGGACGAGGGAUGUCAUCACGACCGCGGUGGGAUGGCGGACAGGUCGACUUCCGUUCCACGACUGAAGACGUUUUGGUUUGGGCUUGGUUCUCCGCCGUCAGCAUCGCUGCUCUGAUUUUACGUUCGAGCAAUACCACCCUUCAAGUCCAAAAUUUGGGCUAAAUUAUAAAAAAAAAAAUCUCUUUAAAUACGAAUUUUUGUUAUAAAUAAUCCUAUCGUUUUUUAUAAUUGUACAAAUAAUUUUUGUAAAAAAAUAAUUAUAAAAAUAGACCUCUAAAUACGGUAAAUGAUUCGCCACAUUCAUAACUCCUCAUUAGAAAUAGAAAAAGAAUAAAAAUGGUAAACCAUUCACCGCUUUUACCAUCUUAGAAAUAUAAAAAGAAGUAAGAAAACGAAAGAAAGCGGUGAAUGAUUCACCGCUUUUAUAGGAUCAUAUUUAUAAAUAAAAAUUUAACAGCUCUAUUUUUAGAAUAAAAUUUUAGGAGAAGACUAUUGGAUUAAAAAACUCUUUAAAUACUCAUAUUUUUAUUUUUUUCUAAUUUUUAAAAUUUUAUAUUUUACUCCAAUUCAAUUUUAUCUGAUAGCGUUAGAUAGAUCUCAAUACUAAACUAAACCUAAGAAAUAAUAAAAGAUACAAGCAUAUAAGGCUCGUUUUGACGUCAAAAUACAGUUUUAUGUUAUAAAAAUUAAUAUUUUAGCAUUUAAUUUUAUAACAUAAAUAUACAAUUAUGAUUUAUUUUUAUCCAAAAGUACAACUUUUCCCAUCAAGAAGACUCUUCUACAUUGGUCGCAUGCAUUUUUUUUUAUUUAUUGGCCAAUUGACUAAUGUUAAUGUUAUUACUUUAAAAUUGAUAAAAUAUAAAUCUUGGUGGCUAAUUAAAAAAAUAUGAAAGUUUGAAUGGUGAAUAUAAAAUUUUAAAAGUUUAGAUGGUUAUCUGUAAACGGACAAAAGUUCAGAGGAUUGUGGACCUCUGGUGCAUAUAACUCUUGGAAAAAUUGAAAUAAAUCAUUUUGAAUUUUGAAUUCUUUUAUGCAAAGAAAGAGGAAUUGUAUUGAAUUUCAUUUUAUAAUUUUUUUUUAUUACGUAUUCUUAAUCGUAUUGUAUCAUAAUUUUGUUUAUUUAUUAAUAAGAAUUUACAGACUUAUAUGAUUAUGAAUUGAGAAAUCUUAAAC
rnacentral:lncRNA from 1 species